rnacentral:tRNA from 4 species
UGUGAUAUAGCGUAGCCCGGGUAUCGCGUCCCGCUUAAGGCGGGAAGGCCGCAGGUUCGAAUCCUGCCACCCCGA